rnacentral:rRNA from 1 species
GGACUACCAGGGUAUCUAAUCCUGUUUGCUCCCCACGCUUUCGUAGUUGAGUGUCAGUGCCUGUCCAGGUCGCCGCCUUCGCCUCUGGUGUUCCUCCCGAUCUCUACGCAUUUCACCGCUACACCGGGAAUUCCACGACCCUCUCCAGGACUCUAGUCUCACCGUUUCCGAGGCACUUCUUGAGUUAAGCUCAAGGCUUUCACCCCGGACAAAUGAGACCACCUACCUACCCUUUACGCCCAAUAAUUCCGAGCAACGCUUGCACCCCUCGUAUUACCGCGGCUGCUGGCAC